GACCGCGUAGCUCAGUUGGCAGAGCAUUGGGCUAGUAUUCCAAAGACCGUAGGUUCAAUUCCCACCGUGGUCA